GGAGGACUAGCUGGCCGAGUAUUU
rnacentral:piRNA from 1 species